rnacentral:rRNA from 1 species
UUAAAAAGCUCGUAGUUGGAUUUCUGGCGGGGACCCAAGUACCCCUGGUGGGUGUGCUCGGGCCCGGCCAUCCUUCUGUAAACUUUCGCGCGUCCUUCACCGGUCGGCAAAGGGAUCAGAUAAUUUACCUUGAGAAAAUUAAAGUGUUUCAGGCAGGCUUAGCCGGAAUACAUUAGCAUGGAAUAAUGGAAUAGGACUGAGGUCUCGUUGUUGGUUACGCGGACUACAGUAAUGAUUAGUAGGGACAGUUGGGGGCAUUAGUAUUUAUUAGCUAGAGGUGGAAUUCUCUAAUUUGAUAAAGACUAACUUAUGCGAAAGCAUUUGCCAAGGAUGUUUUCAUUAAUCAAGAACGAAAGUUAGGGGAUCAAAGACGAUCAGAUACCGUCCUAGUCUUAACCAUAAACCAUGCCGACUAGAGAUUGGAGGUCGUUAUCCAUACGACUCCUUCAGCACCUUAUGAGAAAUCAAAGUCUUUGGGUUCCGGGGGGAGUAUGGUCGCAAGGCUGAAACUUAAAGGAAUUGACGGAAGGGCACCACCAGGAGUGGAGCCUGCGGCUUAAUUUGACUCAACACGGGGAAACUUACCAGGUCCAGACAUAGUAAGGAUUGACAGAUUGAUAGCUCUUUCU